GGAACUGUGGCUCAGUGGGAGAGCAUCUGCUUUGCAUGCAGAAGGUCCAAGGUUUUAUCUGUGGUAUCAACA
rnacentral:tRNA from 1 species